rnacentral:rRNA from 1 species
GCGCUAUUGGAUGAGCCUACGUCGGAUUAGCUAGUUGGUGAGGUAAUGGCUCACCAAGGCGACGAUCCGUAGCUGGUCUGAGAGGACGAUCAGCCACACUGGGACUGAGACACGGCCCAG